rnacentral:rRNA from 1 species
UUACCUACGGGGGGCAGCAGUGGGGGAUAUUGGACAAUGGGGGAAACCCUGAUCCAGCGACGCCGCGUGAGUGAAGAAGUAUUUCGGUAUGUAAAGCUCUGUCAGCAGGGAAGAAAGAAAUGACGGUACCUGACCAAGAAGCCCCGGCUAACUACGUGCCAGCAGCCGCGGUAAUACGUAGGGGGCAAGCGUUAUCCGGAAUUACUGGGUGUAAAGGGAGAGUAGACGGAAAUGUAAGUCUGGAGUGAAAGGCGGGG